GACGAACCGUGCGAACGUUGUUCGGAUUUACUGGGCGUAAAGGGCGCGUAGGCGGUCAGCACAAGUCAGUUGUGAAAUCUCCGGGCUUAACUCGGAAAGGUCAACUGAUACUGUGCGACUAGAGUGCAGAAGGGGCAACUGGAAUUCCUGGUGUAGCGGUGAAAUGCGCAGAUAUCAGGAGGAACACCGGUGGCGAAGGCGGGUCUCUGGGCCGAUACUGACGCUGAGGAGCGAAAGCAUGGGUAGCGAACAGG
rnacentral:rRNA from 1 species